UACUGCUCUGCGACGCGAGGCCGCGGAGUGGUGCUCCAUCGAGACUGGGAACUGCACCCGGAGAGGACGCGCAUCAACACCUCACGCACACGACUGCUCUCAACGGGAGAACGAGGCUGUGGAGUGGGAAGAAUUAAACUGGUGGCCAGUUUGAAGAGGCGGUGAAGCUCUACCAAUCAGCAGGUGAUGCAGUUGGAGCUAUGGCAGGGUGUACAGUGGGACAGGGAGAGCCCUGGCAGUGGAGGCGCUGUGACCGUAAAGCCUGAGAAAGGAGGAGGCUGUGGAACCCGUGGAGGAGGCGCAGCAUGCCUGCACGCAGCCCUCUGGGACCUGAAACUGCAGGAGGACAAGGAGGAGCAGUAUCCGCUGGAAACACAGGAGAGCUGCUGGCCACGGGUCUUGACAUGUCAAGGUGAAACCAAACAACGGCAUUAAAGGACUUCAGUGCAGCUGCAGUGGAGCAGAACUCUGUGUUGCCCUGACCCUCCAGUGGCACCCACAGCUGGGCAGCAUUCACACUGCUUUCUGUGCAACUGGGUUCUGUUCCUGUCUAUGGAGCCCUCAACUUCUUUGUGUCAGCUCUGUGAAAACUGUGAUGCCUGGAUUCACUAAAAAAGACUGAAGUCCUGGAGCUGCCUGCCAGAGGGACUCCAUACAGACUAUACAUACUGCAAAGGAGGACCAAGGUUACAGGUGUCCAAGCAACUUAUCAUAUCCAGAAGACUGCACUACCACGGUGGAUCACCUUGGACUAAAGUGGACAAUAGGGUGAAUGAUAUGUCUGACAUCUCAGCCAGAUUGGGGACAAGACAUGCACAGAGGUGCUGUGACUUUCGCAUAGCAUCAUGUCCUGUAUUGUUUAUAUGACAUAAAGCGACAGAAAGUGAAUACAAAUGCACUGCGUUAGAGCUACCACUGCCAUUUCAUUCCAUUUUUGUUGUUUUUGAUGUUGGUUGGUUAAUUUUUGAUGGUGGUUGAUUAAUUGUUUUACUUUUUUACAUCAAGAAACCAGUUAGUUAGUCAGCUAACUUAAUUUUUAUACAUGUUUCCAUUUUACAACAUUUAUGUUUUGUUUCCAUUUUACAAAUCAUAAUAAAGUUGAAAUCAACAUUCUAAAUCUAGAAUCCGUAUUAACUCAACUGGUAUAUAAGUUAUUUGGAGUUAAAACAUAUUUUUUGUAUUUGGGAAUGUAUCUGAGAGUCACAUUUUGAAUACAUGUAUAUUUUCAGAUAAAAUAUGUUUUUUUUCUGUUUGGAAGAUGUUUGUGGUUAAGACUGUUAUGUGAAUAUGUGAUGGUAAGAUUAUGCUCUUAAAUGAUUGAAUAUGUGUUUGGGGAAAAAGCAUAUAAUGUUGUAUCUUUGCUUAGAUGUGUGUGGGUACGAAUAUUGUCUUAUUAUGUGAAUUGAUUCAUAUUUGGAAAUGGGUUUUUGCUGUACAAUGGGAUGGGUAUACAUCAUUCAAGAAACCUAAUGAAUAUUUGAGGGAAAGAAUACAAUCCAACAUGCUGUGACCUUUGUGAAUACUAGUGUAGAUUUGUAUUAGGUAAAUGUAAACAUUUAUCUUAACAGUGGAAUUGUUAUAACUCAAAAAUCUACCCAUGAACGCAUUACACUUGUAUCCUUUUAUAAAGUUUGCACAUUCAAAGUUGACUCAUGGCAAGAAUAAAGUAAGAUAUUAGGAA